rnacentral:rRNA from 1 species
AUUGAACGCUGGCGGCAUGCCUUACACAUGCAAGUCGAACGGCAGCACGGGGCAACCUGGUGGCGAGUGGCGAACGGGUGAGUAAUGCAUCGGAACGUACCUUUCAGUGGGGGAUAACGUAGCGAAAGUUACGCUAAUACCGCAUAUUCUGUGAGCAGGAAAGCAGGGGAUCGCAAGACCUUGCGCUGAUUGAGCGGCCGAUGUCAGAUUAGCUAGUUGGUGAGGUAAAGGCUCACCAAGGCGACGAUCUGUAGCGGGUCCGAGAGGAUGAUCCGCCACACUGGAACUGAGACACGGUCCAGACUCCUACGUGAGGCAGCAGUGGGGAAUUUUGGACAAUGGGGGCAACCCUGAUCCAGCCAUGCCGCGUGAGUGAAGAAGGCCUUCGGGUUGUAAAGCUCUUUCGGCCGGGAAGAAAUCGCACGGGCUAAUACCCUGUGUGGAUGACGGUACCGGAAUAAGAAGCACCGGCUAACUACGUGCCAGCCGCCGCCGUAAGAC